rnacentral:rRNA from 1 species
UAGCGGUGAAAUGCGUAGAGAUGUGGAGGAACACCAGUGGCGAAGGCGACUCUCUGGUCUGUAACUGACGCUGAGGAGCGAAAGCGUGGGGAGCGAACAGGAUUAGAUACCCUGGUAGUCCACGCCGUAAACGAUGAGUGCUAAGUGUUAGGGGGUUUCCGCCCCUUAGUGCUGCAGCUAACGCAUUAAGCACUCCGCCUGGGGAGUACGGUCGCAAGACUGAAACUCAAAGGAAUUGACGGGGGCCCGCACAAGCGGUGGAGCAUGUGGUUUAAUUCGAAGCAACGCGAAGAACCUUACCAGGUCUUGACAUCCUCUGACAAUCCUAGAGAUAGGACGUCCCCUUCGGGGGCAGAGUGACAGGUGGUGCAUGGUUGUCGUCAGCUCGUGUCGUGAGAUGUUGGGUUAAGUCCCGCAACGAGCGCAACCCUUGAUCUUAGUUGCCAGCAUUCAGUUGGGCACUCUAAGGUGACUGCCGGUGACAAACCGGAGGAAGGUGGGGAUGACGUCAAAUCAUCAUGCCCCUUAUGACCUGGGCUACACACGUGCUACAAUGGACAGAACAAAGGGCAGCGAAACCGCGAGGUUAAGCCAAUCCCACAAAUCUGU